CGGCGAGUUAGGCUGGGGUUAGCGGUCCCCGCACCGAAAACCCGCUAUACGUCGGGCCGAAGCUCUGGAGAGGAGUCUGGAACUGUCAGUCGACUCGGUUUCGCAGUGUAGACGCCUCGUCCCGCAGGGCCGCAGGUGGCGGAAUCUCGGUCGGAGGAUCGAGACAAACCGCCUUCAUCUGUCGAACCCGGUCAGGGACGGAAGUCCGCAGCCGUAGGCAGAACUGUGAGCGCUUGCGGGGUCGCGGGGCCGAGCUGCAGCCGAGUGUCGGACUGGCAGGAAAGGGCUCCCAUCCUGGGCGUGCUCGCCG
rfam:Candidate divison MSBL1 archaeon SCGC-AAA382A13 AAA382A13_Contig_9_C, whole genome shotgun sequence.